GGAGAGGUCGCAUAGUUGGUCUAGUGCGCCGCACUCGAAAUGCGGUGUAGGGCAACCUACCGUGGGUUCGAAUCCCACCCUCUCCGCCA
rnacentral:tRNA from 4 species